AAAAAAAAAAUUAUUUAUGCUCUUUCUCAGCUAGUAGCUUAUUUUCUCUCGCUGUUAUCUGACCACCGAUCUCGUGGCGCCUCAUUGAUCGUGUAUAAACUGUACACCGUUAAUAUAUCUUCCUCUUCUUCACGUAAGCCCUAAAGUGCCCCUGCUUUCUUCACCUGAUCCGUCUCCAAAGAAGAAGGAAGCCAGUUUGAGCAAAGUUCGACUUAUUUUACAAUCAUGGCGAGGAAGAUGC
rnacentral:misc_RNA from 1 species